rnacentral:rRNA from 1 species
UACAGAGGUCUCAAGCGUUAUUCGGAUUCAUUGGGCGUAAAGGGUGCGUAGGCGGCGCGGUAAGUCGGGUGUGAAAUCUUGGAGCUUAACUCCGAAACUGCAUUCGAUACUGCCGUGCUUGAGGACUGGAGAGGAGACUGGAAUUUACGGUGUAGCGGUGAAAUGCGUAGAUAUCGGAAGGAAGACCAGUGGCGAAGGCGGGUCUCUGGACAGUUCCUGACGCUGAGGCACGAAGGCCAGGGGAGCAAACGGG